ensembl:lncRNA
UCUAGAUCCAGACCAGCUGGUAGCACAGUUCUGUUAUCUAGAUCCAGACCAGCUGGUAGCCACCCCCUCACCCUCCCCAGUCACAGUUCUGUUAUCUAGAUCCAGACCAGCUGGUAGCACCCCUCACCCCCCCCCCUCCCUCAGUCACAGUUCUGUUAUCUAGAUCCAGACCAGCUGGUAGCACAGUUCUGUUAUCUAGAUCCAGACCAACUGAUCCAGACCACCCUCCUCAGUCACAGUUCUGUUAUCUAGAUCCAGACCCCCCCCCACCCUCCUCAGUCACAGUUCUGUUAUCUAGAUCCAGACCAGCUGGUAGCACCCUCCCCAGUCACAGUUCUGUUAUCUAGAACCGGACCAGCUGGUAGCACCACAGUUGUAUUCCCUCUUGUCGGCCUGCAUCCAAUUACAUUUGAUGUCUAAAUCAGAUCAGAGCCUUUUGUUGAGUCACCUGGCCAGGAAAGCCCUGGCACAGCACACACUGGUGACAUGGUGGCUCUGAGCGAGACGUGCUGAACCACACAUCCAUGAUGAGUUUGUUUAUUUUGUUUUUAAAGCUGCCACUGCUAGGACACUACUGAGCUGGAUAAGGUAUUGUAGUGAAAUUGUUUCCCAAUAUACAUACUUGCAUAUAUAUCACUGUAUAAACUACAAAAGGAUACAAUGACCAAGUAUACUAUAAAGUACCUUAGCAGAGCAUGCUGACUGACAUUGGUCUUGUCCAGACACUCUUCCUACAAACUUCACAUGAAACUAAAUCAUUUCCUUUAAUAAACACUUGAAAACAAGAGGGACACGUGACCAU